AUCACUGCCUUCUACCAACAUUGCCAUACCCAUCCCAAUGAGCGGAAUACGUCGACGACCAUUGGAGGAGCUUAUGGUCGUCUCAGGAAUGCUUUCCAUCUUUUUCUCUACGCUUCCUUUCCUUUGUGAGAAAUGUAAGAUCGUUUCAAGCUAAACGACGGAUUCGUAUGCGGAAGCAGUCUUUACAUUUUUCUAAACAAAUCACUAUCGAACCUAGACUACCUAAUUUUCGUGUUUCAAGGAUAUAGUAUUAUAUUUACUGUAGCUUCUUUUCCUUUCUUGAUUCAUUUUAGUCUAAUUAUCUAAAGUAGUUUUUCAAAGCCAGGUUCUUGAAAUUGUGGGACAUGCUUAGAGCACGUAUUUUAGGAGAGUAUUUUCGUGAGUUUGUUUCUUGAUUGAAAAAACAUAAAAUAAAAAUGAUAUCUGUUGUGUGGUGGUAUGUAUUUUUUUGGAAUUUUAGUCCAAACUUAGAUUUUUUUGGUUUUGUGGUCCUUUUGACCAUGUUUGUUUGUGAUUUUGGUCUCUUGAAAAAUUAAAAAGAUUAAAAUAUUCUUUCUGAUA